GCAGUGCAGUGUGCGCAGUGUCAGUCUGUGUCUGGUGGAGCGGUGUGUUGGCGUGCUGCUAGCUCCCCGCUCCGCCCACACAUAUCCUGCAGCCGGAGAUGAACAUGAGAUCAUAGUACUGGUCCAGUGCCGUCUGUUGGACGUUUUCACCACUGGCCAGCCUCCAAAUUCUCGUACAUGU